AAUAACCAAUCGAUGAAGGAACAUGAAACCAUUCUGUUUCAAUAGAGGUACGAGAAAGGGUUGGGGGCAAUGAAGUAGGUGAAGUGAUGAAUACUAAGGAGGCUUUGAUGGUAGCUAAUUGAAGACCGAGACAAUCUGAGCAU